rnacentral:rRNA from 1 species
AUUGAACGCUGGCGGCAUGCCUUACACAUGCAAGUCGAACGGUAACAGGUUAAGCUGACGAGUGGCGAACGGGUGAGUAAUGUAUCGGAACGUGCCCAGUCGUGGGGGAUAACUGCUCGAAAGAGCAGCUAAUACCGCAUACGACCUGAGGGUGAAAGCGGGGGAUCGCAAGACCUCGCGCGAUUGGAGCGGCCGAUAUCAGAUUAGGUAGUUGGUGGGGUAAAGGCCUACCAAGCCUACGAUCUGUAGCUGGUCUGAGAGGACGACCAGCCACACUGGGACUGAGACACGGCCCAGACUCCUACGGGAGGCAGCAGUGGGGAAUUUUGGACAAUGGACGCAAGUCUGAUCCAGCCAUGCCGCGUGCGGGAAGAAGGCCUCGGUUGUAACGCUUUGUCUAGGAGAAAGUACUGUAUACUGGAC